GAUCAUUGCACACACAAGUGGCAGCCAACCCGCGGCGAACGAACACAUUGUCCCCCCCGGUGGGUCGUGGCGCCUCGCGGCGUCGCGGCCGGCCAACUCCCUUCGUCACGAGCGAGCGAGCUCGCGCGCGGCGUCGGGUUUCCACGCGAUGCCUUCACCUUGAUCGAAUGACUGAGUCCCUGAAUACUUCAAGAGGAGUGACGAGUGCCGUCCCCCUCAGGGUGGUCGGCGCUGGUUACCUCGCGAGUUGAAACAUAACCAAAAACAACUCUCAGCAACGGAUAUCUUGGCUCUUGCAACGAUGAAGAACGCAGCGAAAUGCGAUACGUAGUGUGAAUUGCAGAAUUCCGCGAAUCAUCGAGUCUUUGAACGCAAGUUGCGCCCGAGGCUUGUCCAAGGGCAUUUCCGCUAGAGCGUCACCGCGCCCCCCACCGAUCCACUCCCGCCGGGAGUCGUGUCGAGUGGAAGUGGCCAUCCCGGUGGGCCUUUCUUUUUUGAGGAAGGCCUUAAGGGUUGGCUGAAAUGGAGGGAAUCGGGCCGCCGUGGUGACACAGUCCGCGAUCGGGUGAAUUUUGGGCUGAGUCCUGAAUUUUUCUAAGUGCGUGGCUGUGUCCCCCAGUCGGUCGUUGUGUUACCUCAUGCAGGUCGAGCGCGCCCCCGCGGCGCGCGUCACGCAUCAGA
rnacentral:rRNA from 1 species